AUCGCUUCUCGGCCUUUUGGCUAAGAUCAAGUGUAGUACAAAAGAAUUAAACAAAUCUUAUAAAAAUUCAUUAAUUUAGAACCUUAAUAAAACAUAGUUGUAAUCAUUGUUUGUGCUAGGAUGUAUUUUAGGUACUGGGGUGCCUUCAUUCAUUCAUUGUCUUUAGAGGUACAGAUCUUCCCAAGCCUAGAAGUU